rnacentral:tRNA from 1 species
GGUGGCAUAGCCAAGCAGUAAGGCAGAGGUCUGCAAAAACUUUAUCGUCAGUUCGAAUUUGAUUGUCACCU